rnacentral:rRNA from 1 species
CCUACGGGAGGCAGCAGUGGGGAAUUUUGGACAAUGGGCGAAAGCCUGAUCCAGCAAUGCCGCGUGCAGGACGAAGGCCUUCGGGUUGUAAACUGCUUUUGUACGGAGCGAAAAGGUUUCCUCUAACACAGGGGGCCCAUGACGGUACCGUAAGAAUAAGCACCGGCUAACUACGUGCCAGCAGCCGCGGUAAUACGUAGGGUGCAAGCGUUAAUCGGAAUUACUGGGCGUAAAGCGUGCGCAGGCGGUCUUAUAAGACAGAUGUGAAAUCCCCGGGCUCAACCUGGGAACUGCAUUUGUGACUGUAAGGCUUGAGUGCGGCAGAGGGGGAUGGAAUUCCGCGUGUAGCAGUGAAAUGCGUAGAUAUGCGGAGGAACACCGAUGGCGAAGGCAAUCCCCUGGGCCUGCACUGACGCUCAUGCACGAAAGCGUGGGGAGCAAACAGGAUUAGAUACCCUGGUAGUCCACGCCCUAAACGAUGUCAACUGGUUGUUGGGUCUUUGCUGACUCAGUAACGAAGCUAACGCGUGAAGUUGACCGCCUGGGGAGUAACGGCCGCAAAGGUUGAAAAGUUACGAAAGAAGUUAGAGGCGNGAGAGNGCGACGGACGACACGAGGGAGGAGG